rnacentral:rRNA from 1 species
UACGUAGGGGGGCAAGCGUUGUCCGGAAUCAUUGGGCGUAAAGAGCGUGUAGGCGGUCCGGUAAGUCGGCUGUGAAAGUCCAGGGCUCAACCCUGGGAUGCCGGUCGAUACUGCCGGACUAGAGUUCGGAAGAGGCGAGUGGAAUUCCCGGUGUAGCGGUGAAAUGCGCAGAUAUCGGGAGGAACACCUAUGGCGAAGGCAGCUCGCUGGGACGUUUACUGACGCUGGAGACGCGAAAGCGUGGGGGAGCAAACAGG